rnacentral:rRNA from 1 species
AUACGGAGGGUGCAAGCGCUACUCGGAAUCACUGGGCGUAAAGCGCGCGCAGGCGGUCUUUUAAGUUGGAUGUGAAAGCCUACAGCUCAACUGUAGAACUGCAUCCAAAACUAUUAGACUAGAGUCUGGGAGGGGAAGAUGGAAUUAGUUGUGUAGGGGUAAAAUCCGUAGAGAUAACUAGGAAUACCAAAAGCAAAGGCGAUCUUCUGGAACAGUACUGACGCUGAGGCGCGAAAGCGUGGGGAGCAAACAGGAUUAGAAACCCCAGUAGUCC